GCGGACGGGUGAGUAACACGUGGAUAACCUACCUAUAAGACUGGGAUAACUUCGGGAAACCGGAGCUAAUACCGGAUAAUAUAUUGAACCGCAUGGUUCAAUAGUGAAAGACGGUUUUGCUGUCACUUAUAGAUGGAUCCGCGCCGCAUUAGCUAGUUGGUAAGGUAACGGCUUACCAAGGCAACGAUGCGUAGCCGACCUGAGAGGGUGAUCGGCCACACUGGAACUGAGACACGGCCCAG
rnacentral:rRNA from 1 species